UAAGUCAAUGCUUUCCUUUUUUGGAUUCAGUGAAGCUUAUAAUUGUUAAAUACAUGUGGAAAUUGGAUUUCUGUCUAUUUGGAUAAGUUUAAUUGUGCAAUUUAGUGCCAUUUUUGUUUAGAAAACUGAAGGGCAAGGGAAACAAUAACUGCUGUAAUAUCUCUUUAAGCCCGCGGUUAUCCACGAUGCCAUUCUUUUGUGGGUGUGACUUGCUGCUAGGCAUGUGAAUAUUAUUAGCACUGUAUUUGUGGCUAUGAAAAUGAAUGGAACUGUAAAAUAACAGUUGCUGCAGCCCAUCAGGUUGCUUAACUCCCUUCUUGCCAUCUAUCUUUGCUAGUAUUUUGGGAGUUACGUCUCCCUUAUCAAUUAGGGCCGUGUUGAGAGUACCUUGGAGUAAACUUAGAAGUUCCAAGGCCCUAGGGAAGCCUAUGUAUAAAAGUAAGAAAAUUUCUCAUUCUGUGGUAGUGGAGUUAUUAAAUUUUGUAAGUAUGGAUAAAAGAGUGACACAUGUUCUUAUUAUCUAUAUUCUCUAGACUAGACAGACAAAUGAAAAACAAACUCUCUACAGGUAAUGUGUAGAACAACUCGGAAUUCUCGCUACACUAAACUUUUGCAUAACAUUUUUUCAAGUAGAUAAGACAGUCAUAUUAUAUUACAGGUUCUUGCUCCGUGGCUUUCUUAUUAGGUAUCAAGCCUUACAUUCUGAUUUUAGUGCAUCAGGUUGUUUGUUCAGGCGAACAAAAUAAAUUACCAAUGGAAGUGGUGUGGACCUAGGAUUCUUGGGUCUGAGUCGUAUGAUUUCAGUCUUCCUGCAACGAGUUGGAAGGUUCUGAUCUUCCUUCGAUGAGCUGAGCUAUCAAUCCCAAAGCCAACGAUCUUCGGCUGUGGCAGAACAGUGUUUGCCAGUAGCGAGUAGAAAUACCCAAUAAACUUGGGUAUGCAAACAAAGAUGCUUGAUUGUACAUUGCAAUAUCUUCAUAGAAGUAUUGUUGUAACCAAAACCAAACUAAUUGAUGAACUGCAUGAAGGAAUUGAUAAAAUAAUUAUUGGUAAAUAA